UAUUUCUAUCAAAUUCUUUACAAGAUGGCGCUAAUAGAAUAAUAGAAACAAAAGGGUCGUCUGCUUACGUUUUGAUUCCAAGUUUCGAAAAAGAGACUCAAGUUCAAGAUUACAAAAGAAAACGGGACGAUCACAUUUUGGGAAACGUGCACGUGGCUGCACACAAAAUAACACAUAAAAUAAGAAAAAUGUGGUCGUCGUGUCAACUCUGGUGUCGUGGCUCUUUAAAUAGAAUCGCUUCAUACACACUCCAUGCUGUUUAGCAGAUUUGAGGCCUGAGUCAGUCAUCAUAAUAACAACAUGAUAUGCAACUUUUGCUGGUGCUGCUAUUGUCCUGUCAAUCAGCAACAAUCUCAGUCUCAUCGCUUGGACAAACAGCAUCCCUGUUGAUUGGGGAUUCUACCCAUGGCCGAGCUACGUAUCUCUUCCUUCCUUCCCCUUUCUUUAAAUGUCCUCGUGUACACUUCAUGUGAGUGUGGGUGUAUUCACGAGGACCCCCUUUUCUCCCUAUCCCGUCUAGUGGACUCAACUUUUCAGCGGAUGGAUGGAUCACUUGUGGAUGGAUGCCUGGCUGCAUUUCCCAGACAUCAAGGUAGGAAACAUUUAUCUCUUUUUUUCCUACUACUCCGACUAUUGGGUAGCGUUGAUU